AUUAUUGAAUAAACUUGAACAAGCUGAUUUUGCUGGCUUCUUUAGAGGCAUGUGCACGCUUGUCAUCUUUAUCUUUCCAACUGUGCACUUUUUGUAGAUCUUGGGGAAGUUUGAAUUAUUUUGAAUAGAUUGAGGACUGCUGUACUUUUCAGCUUUACCUUGUAUUUCCAGAUCUAUGUUUUUAUUAUAAACCUUUUGAUAUGUCUAGAAUGUUACAACGAGUUGAUAAAAUAAUUUAUACAACUUUCAGCAACGGAUCUCUUGGCUCUUGCAUCGAUGAAGAACGCAGCGAAAUGCGAUAAGUAAUGUGAAUUGCAGAAUUCAGUGAAUCAUCGAAUCUUUGAACGCAUCUUGCGCUCUUUGGUAUUCCAAGGAGCAUGCCUGUUUGAGUGUCAUUAAGUUCUCAACCAUAUUAAAUUCUUUUAAUGUGGCUUGGUUGUUGGAAGCUUGCAGGUCAUUUUAUAUAGAUCUGCUCUUCUAAAAUGGAUUAGUGGUAUCUGAGCAGACACUACUACAGAUGUGAUAAUUAUCAUUUACAUCUUAGUCAUGCUGCAAUAGUAGAUUAUACUGCUUCUAACACACAUUAUGAUAUAUUUGACCUCAAAUCAGGUAGGACUACCCGCUGAACUUAAGCAUAUCAAUAAGCGGAGGAAAAGAAACUAACAAGGAUUCCCUUAGUAACUGCGAGUGAAGUGGGAAAAGCUCAAAUUUGAAAUCUGGCAGCUUUUAACUGUCCGAGUUGUAAUCUAGAGAAGUGUUACCUGUCCUGGACCAUGUACAAGUCUUCUGGAAUGGAGUAUCAUAGAGGGUGAGAAUCCCGUCUUUGACAUGGACUACCAGUGCAUUAUGGUGUGCUCUCAAAGAGUCGAGUUGUUUGGGAAUGCAGCUCAAAAUGGGUGGUAAAUGCCAUCUAAAGCUAAAUAUUGGCAAGAGACCGAUAGUGAACAAGUACCGUGAGGGAAAGAUGAAAAGAACUUUGGAAAGAGAGUUAAACAGUACGUGAAAUUGCUGAAAGGGAAACGCUUGAAGUCAGUCACAUUGGCUAGAAAUCAGCCUUGCUUUUGCUGGGUGUAUUUUCUUGUCGAUGGGUCAGCAUCAAUUUUGACUGCUGGAUAAAUUCUUUGGGAAUGUGGCAUCUUUGGAUGUGUUAUAGCCCAUAGUUGUAUACAGUGGUUGGGAUUGAGGAACUCAGCAUGCCGCAAGGCUGGGUAU
rnacentral:rRNA from 1 species